rnacentral:tRNA from 1 species
CAUGGUAGUUAGUUUAAACUAAAAUAAAUGAUUUCGACUCAUUAGAUUAUGACCUAUCCAUAACUACUAAA